CAAGCAUGUGCCUCUUUGUCUUUGCUCACUAGAUUCCCUCAGCCUUCAACACCUUGAGAGCUUGUUUGGAGGCCCUAGCAGGGGUGCAAAGCUACUCAUAUACCCUUGGCUGAAGACCAGUCCUCCUCUAUCGGGGAUUGUCGAGAUGGCAGGAUGAGAUUGUGGUCUUCCAUCCACACAGCUACCCCUUCACCAUGUGAUCUCUGCAUACCAGCUACCUUUUGCCUUCUGACAUGAACGGAAGAAGCCUGCAGCCCUCACCAGAAGCAGAUGCUGAUGCCAUGCUUCUUGUACAGCCGGCAGA
rnacentral:lncRNA from 10 species